CCUACGGGUGGCAGCAGUGAGGAAUAUUGGUCAAUGGACGAGAGUCUGAACCAGCCAAGUAGCGUGAAGGAUGACUGCCCUAUGGGUUGUAAACUUCUUUUAUAUGGGACUAAAAUGUUCCACGUGUGGGAUUUUGUAUGUACCAUAUGAAUAAGGAUCGGCUAACUCCGUGCCAGCAGCCGCGGUAAUAAGGAGGAUCCGAGCGUUUUCCGGGUUUUUUGGGUUUAAAGGGAGAGUUGGUGGAUAGUGAAGUCAGUUGUGAAAGUUUGCGGCUUAACCGUAAAAUUGCAGUUGAAACUGGCAGUCUUGAGUACAGUAGAGGUGGGCGGAAUGCGUGGUGUAGCGGUGAAAUGCUUAGAUAUCACGAAGAACUCCGAUUGCGAAGGCAGCUCACUGGACUGCAACUGACACUGAGGCUCGAAAGUGUGGGUAUCAAACAGGAUUAGAUACCCUGGUAGUC
rnacentral:rRNA from 1 species